GGGCAUUGGAUCGUUCGAUUCCCUGCAACAUGGUUGAGUUGGGCGGUGCUGGUGUAC
rnacentral:pre_miRNA from 1 species